UUUGGAAUAAUGUACAUAUUUUGCCGUUUCGGAAGGAAAUUGGUACUUUAAUUCACCAAAGUGGCAUUCAACUGAUCACAAAGUAUAGUCAGGACAUUACUGAUGUAAAAAACAGCGCCAUCACUAUUUGAAAAAAGUCAUUUUUGAUCAAAUCUAGACAGGCCCCAUUUCCAGCAGCUAUCACUCCAACACCUUAUCCUUGAGUAAUCAUGCUAAAUUGCUAAUUUGGUACUAGAAAAUCACUUGCCAUUAUAUCAAACACUGCUGGAAGAUAUUUGGUUCAUUAAAUGAAGCUUAAAAUUGUCUUUGUGUUUGUUUUUGAGUUGCCACAGUAUGCAAUAGACUGGCAUGUCUUAAGGUCAAUAUUAGGUCAAAAAUGGCAAAAAAGAAACAGCUUUCUCUAGAAACUCGUCAGUCAAUCAUUGUUUUGAGGAAUGAAGGCUAUACAAUGCUUGAAAUUGCCAAAAAACUGAAGAUUUCAUACAAAGGUGUACACUACAGUCUUCAAAGACAAAGGACAACUGGCUCUAACAAGGACAGAAAGCGAUGUGGAAAGACAGAUGUACAACUAAACCACCUCAGAGUGUCACUCACACAAUAUCAAGACAGUCUGAUGUUGAAUUUCAAAAUUAAAGCCCUCUAAAAUGUCAUAUAUACGCUGUGUUUUCUAUAAAUUCAGACAGAUAUUAAAAGGAAACUCCCUGUUUCCACAGAACAGUUUAAUUUCAGAAUGAUAGUACACUACCUGAGAGUGUCACUCACACAAUAUCAGGGCAUUUUGGUGUUGAAUUUCAAAAUUAAAGCCCUCUAAAAUCUCAUUUAUAUAUAAACUGUCCCUUUUUCAGGACACAGUAUUUUAAAGAUAAUUUUGUAAAACUUCAAAUAACUUUACAGAUCUUUAUUGUAAAGAGUUUAAACAAUGUUUUCCAUGCUUGUUCAAUGAACCAUAAACAAUUAAUGAACAUGCACCAGUGGAACGGUCGUUAAGACACUAACAGCUUACAGAAGGUAGGCAAUUAAUGUCACAGAUAUAAAAACUUAGGACACUAAAGAGACCUUUCUACUGACUCUGAAAAACACCAAUAGAAAGAUGCCCAGGGUUCCUGCUCAUCUGCGUGAACGUGCCUUUGGCAUGCUGCAUGGAGGCACGAGGAUUGCAGAUGUGGCCAGGGCAAUAAAUUGCAAUGACCAUUGUAGGAAAGUCUAUUCCUUUAAUUGCACUUUCAUACUUCACCACUAGAGGGCACAUGUCUUUCACAUUACUGAUUCCUAUACACCUUUCCCUUUAAGACCAUGUGCUUUAUACAUCAUACAAGCUGGGUUAAUGUGAGCAUAUAAUCUUUAAAACUGUGUGCGUUCGUGAAGAAAAAGUACGUUAUAUCUCAUUUUCUAGUAGAAAUAUACCUGUUAAUAAAGUUGAUGUUAAUCAUUAUGAUGUUGUAUUAAUCUUGUAAAUUGACAUUAUUUGGCCAUCUCUGUCGGGAAGCUGAUGUGCUAGUUUUACAGACAUGUGCUAUAAUGCACUGUUGUUAUAUUAAGGUAUAAAUGUUAAUCUUUUAGCCAGAUUAACUUCAUUUGACACACUACACGAUAAUUAUUGUGGAUUUGUCAGUGAAUUUCAGACAAUAGAUGAUUGUUUAUUGUUCAUUUAUGUUCAGUAUGGGAAAUGUUUAAUAUAUAACAAUUUAACAUAAGGAUUGUAAUAUUGAUUGUCUAAUUUGCACAAUUUUCUUCUGUUUCAGACCACACACCCAUACACACAUACCCUUUUCACCACUAUACAUUAUAAACCCAGUUGCUCACAGUUGUGACCUGUAUCCAUGUACCCAGCUUAUCAUUAAAGUUUUGUGGAUGUAACUCUCCGAGCCCUUACUCUCUUACCGGAGUCACCAGUUUUCAAGGACUAUCUGAACAUUCCAGAGGCACCACCUCUACAAAUGGUCCUUCGAGCCAGAUGAUAGCAAACUUGAAGACAACAUGCAGUCGCAGCAAGAGGUCACGGAGCCGAUCGUGCGCCCUCGUACUCAGCAGGAGAAGCACCCACCAGCCUACUUAAGUGAUUAUGACGUUGGGUAUCAACCAAGCCAAAUUCUUGCUUCCAGUGCGGAUACCAGCAGUAUAAUGCCAGUGGCUACCAUUCCAGCUGCACAACCAGACAAUGUGACUGCGCCUAGUAGACCACCUUCAUCCCAUUCAUCUGCUAGUUCACAUUGCAGCAAAUCAAGAACAAAGACCAGCAGAAGCUCUGGAUCCAGCCGGACAACGGCUUCACAACUGACUGAUCUACAGGCAGCUAUUGUAGAGGAGAAACUAAAGAGCAUGGAGCUUGCAGAGACAGAUGGUGGAGGAAAGCAAAGCUGAAGAACAGUGUGAAUUCCUGGAUCAACAAGCACGCCUAGCGCUAUAUGAGAGAGAAGAUAUGCUCAGAGAACAGCAAAGGAGAAGUCGGCAUCUAGAUGAAGAGGCCCGUGCAGCUCACAAGACCAAAGAACUGAUCACUAAGCAGCUUGAAAGACAGAGGUGCAUUAAACAGAAGGAGAUGGAGCUAGAGAAAACACGUCACAUCGCAUCCCUUCUUAGAGAAUCAGAGACUGAAAAUGUAACACCUGUUCCACAAACCAGAAGUGAACUUGACCCAGGGCAGGUACAGACUGAUAUACUCUGCUCACAGAAGGUAGAAGUUGCUCACAACAUGACACAUCAGUUAUCUGAUAAUCCACAGCACUCAACACCUUACAUACAUCAGAGUAAUCCUGUCACUACUGUAGGGCCUUGGCCCAAUCAAAAUGGCAGCAGAGACCGCAUGGCCCUUUGUUCUAUAAUCAAAGGAGAGACAUUGAACUCAGUUUCCCAGGAUCCUUCACAAAUUCACAACUGGAUGCGAAGUACCGCCCAUGGACCCAGUCUCAAACGCCAUUAGUUGAAAGCGGCCUACGACCGAUGACGUUAUCUUGUCAAUAAAACAGCGGACAGAUGUAGUUUGGCCUCUCUGUGCUAAGCUCUGCCUGGCUGUUAAGGGACAUCUGUACUGUGCACGUACUGAAGGAGUUUUCCCACCGUUUUGUACUGAGAACAAAGAGACCACGUUUUUCUAACCUCACCAUUUGGCCACGGUAGAGUAAGAUUAACUUAGCUUUGUUCAAGUCUUAUAGUAUACUUAUAACAACCGGUUCAGUUUCACUGUAAAGCAACAGUGAAUUUAUUUUGAAAAAUGGAAAGACGACCAGUUUCCCUUCUCCCUCUUUUUCAUUCAGCGUUGACUACAUUCUGCAUUCUUCUCCAUCGCUGGAUCCGAAGAAUAAAGCAGAGACGUGUCUUUUCGCUGACGAGCGUAAGACAAGGGACCAUCCAGACCGUUUCUCCUGACCGCUCAAUGCAACAGGAAUUCCAAUGGACAACCCUACUGAAAUCACACAGGAUUUCCCAAGAUGAAAUUCCUUUGGAUCCUUGGCAUCUUCCUCAACCAACAGCUCACACAAGCCAGUGAGGUGGUAGAAACCAGCCUGCCAACCAGUAUUGUCCUACAGGAGACCCCUGGGCUCUUAAACACCCAUUGCCACCUCUACACCCAAAGAAUAUACGUUCGUUUAGACCCUUGGGAUGUGUAUCGCAAACACAUCCAGUUAUGACGGAGGGCAGGGUAAGCGGAACCCAAACCCAGGACACAGCUGAACAUGGCAAAUUGACAACUGUCCACAUCCUAGAACAACUACAGAAAUCCCUAGUCACAGAGGAUGAACUCAGUGGGAAUAAAUGACCAAAGCGGUUCCUCGGUGGCCUGCUAGUAGCAGCAUCAGCCAUUGGUUCCCUGUUCUCUAUCGGCCUUUCGGCUGCCAACUCCAUCAGUCUCGGUACACUCCAAAGACAAAUGGGUGAACUUAAUGAGGAAAUUCCAGAAAUCCAAGAGAAACUCCUGUUACAACAAGAACAAUUACAGGAUCUGGGUAAAACCCUACAGGGUACCAUACUCACUGUGAACAUGCACUCUGCAAUUCUAAAUAACACUUUGCAUGCUCUGGAUGCCUUGUCAGAAGUUGUGAGAUCAGACAUAACAUAUUUGCGAAUGGUUAGAGAUCUAAUGCAUGACCUUGUAAGGGAAAUUAGCACGUCAGUUAACAGCCUGAGUGGGGGAAAGAUCCCAUCCUACCUAGUUCCCCUAAACAUGGUUGCACAAAUCCUUAGAUCGGCCACUACCACCGUUGUGCAAACUUCCCGGAUACAUCUGGCAUACAGCCUUGGCAGUGCAAUCCCCAUCCAUGUAAAUCCUCAGAACCUAGAGAUAGGAUUUAUCCUUAACUUACCCAUUAUAGAGAAACAGAACAUUUACCGACUGAAAUCCAUAUUGAACAUUGAGUUUUGGAAGAAUAAUGUACAUGUACACAUCAAAACACCACCGCUGCUUGCCUACCACGAUGAUGACCCCUCUCUCUACCUUAUUCCCAAUCUGAACAUGUGUACGAACACCAAGGAGAUACAUUGGGUUUGCCCCAGCAACCCCUUUUAUCAGAGAUAUUACCGACCACCUGUGCGGUCUGAGGGCUGACACCCCAGAGCAAAAAUGCCAGGCUAGUAUGUCUGUUAAAGACGAAGGGACAGAAUCUAGUGUAGAAAGAGCUAGUAGUUGAUGGCUUGUCAGUACCCCUGCCACCAAGAUCCUAAUGUCAUACGACCGUCAUGACACAAACACUAAAUUAACAAUCCUAAACCAAACGGUAUUCUUGAAGGUCCCUCAAGGGGCCACGGUACAUAUAGCCGACAUUGUCCUCCACCAUCUCAGUCCAGAGAGACACGAUUCAGAGAUUGAGAUGAUGGACGCAUUCAGAGGCCACAACCUCACUAUUGAUGAAACCCUUCAACAACAGCUUCUAGCUGAAGGGACCAAAUUAGUAAAGUUCAGUCUCAAAUUGACUGGGCUCAUGACUACAUUUUUCAAUCGUAUAGGAAAAUUAUCGGCUUAUCAAGAACACCCCAUCAGUUUGACUGCCCUUGGGCUCCUCCUUAGUGGUUGGAUCAUCACGGCAGGUAUUGCAUACGCCAUGCACAGACACAUCCAAACACUACACACUAGACUGGAUGCUAUGACACUCAUUCCACAGCGUUUCAAGCUCCUGUCUACCCCUCUACCACUAACUGCUCCUAACUCUGCCCAGGAACAGUUAUACUAACUGUAACAAUCUUUCCCAUUUUCCUUUUCAUAAUCAUUGAAAACUCAGGGAUAACAAAGGGUUGUUGAAGUGUUUGAUGUGUUUUACCAAUGUGAAGUGCUGUUUUGAUAGAAACUAUGUUAGCUUGCCUAGUUAGAAUUCAUCUGCCCAGAUGUUACCUACUAUGACUGCCCAGGUAUCAAAAGCCUUUAUGAACUGUUAAUGUUUCCAGGAACUAAGCUCAUGCAAACCCAGGACACAUGGACUGUACAACUUUCGGGUUGCUCUCAAGGACUGAACUGUUCAACUUUUGGGUUGCUCUCAAGGACUGUGGCAGGAACCCCAACCUUAAGACCAAAGGGGGGAGGUGUAGGGCCUUGGCCCACUCAAAAACUGUGAUUUUUCUUGUGAAACUAAAUCAUAUUUUUGAUUCUAAAUGCUGAUGUUUUGAGUAUAUUUUUAUGUUAAACUCUCGCUGUUUGCUGUUUCGAGUUGGGAGAUUUGUAUUUAGUUUUCUUUUGGGGUUACGUUUGUUUUGUUGAGUGAUCUGAACUAGUAAUUCAGUCCCGCUGUUACGAGUGGUUACCCUUAAUUAAAUUGCAUGCACUUUUCCUCUCUCUCUCACUCUCAUUCUCUCUCUCUCUCACUGAUAUUCAUUGAGUGAGCGGUGCCGCGGUUUAUGUUCGAUUCAGGCUGGUGAACCAAAUUCUCCCACCUGUUUCGUCAGUUCCUUUAUGUGUCCGCUCAUUUCCACCCUCACGUGGUACCAGCUCCAUUUUGGAUCUAACCCUCCAUUUUGAACCUGAUCCUCCAUUUUGAUUCCUUUGUUACUGCAUCUGGACACACACACACACACACUCAUAUACACACGCACA